GCACCCGUUCCCAUUCCGAACACGGCCGUGAAACGCCCCUGCGCCUAUGGUACUUCGUCUUAAGACGCGGGAGAGUCGGUCGCUGCCAGGU
rnacentral:rRNA from 1 species